ACUCAAAGGAAUUGACGGGGGCCCGCACAAGCGGAGGAACAUGUGGUUUAAUUCGAUGAUACGCGAGGAACCUUACCCGGGAUUGAAAUGUAGAUGACCGCCGGUGAAAGUCGGCUUUCCUUCGGGACAUCUAUGUAGGUGCUGCAUGGUUGUCGUCAGCUCGUGCCGUGAGGUGUCGGCUUAAGUGCCAUAACGAGCGCAACCCCUGUCUACGGUUGCCAUCAGGUAAUGCUGGGAACUCCGUAGAGACUGCCGUCGUAAGGCGUGAGGAAGGUGGGGAUGACGUCAAAUCAGCACGGCCCUUACAUCCGGGGCGACACACGUGUUACAAUGGUAAGGACAAAGGGCAGCUACCUGGCGACAGGAUGCGAAUCUCUAAACCUUAUCACAGUUCGGAUCGGAGUCUGCAACUCGACUCCGUGAAGCUGGAUUCGCUAGUAAUCGCGCAUCAGCCAUGGCGCGGUGAAUACGUUCCCGGGCCUUGUACACACCGCCCGUCAAGCCAUGGGAGUCUGGAGUACCUAAAGUCCGUACCUGCGAGGGGCGGCCUAGGGUAAUACAGGUGACUGGGGCUAAGUCGUAACAAGGU
rnacentral:rRNA from 1 species